AAAGUUAGAGGCUCGAAGGCGAUCAGAUACCGCCCUAGUUCUAACCAUAAACGAUGCCAGCCAGCGAUCCGGCUGUGUUCCUCAAAUGACACGCCGGGCAGCUUCCGGGAAACCAAAGCCUUUGGGUUCCGGGGGAAGUAUGGUUGCAAAACUCAAACUUAAAGGAAUUGACGGAAGAGCACUACCAGGAAUGGAGCAUGCGGCUCAAUUUGACUCAACACGGGAAAGCUUACCCGGUCCGGACGCAGGAAGGAUUGACAGAUUAAGAGCUCUUUCUUGAUUCUGCGGGUGGUGGUGCAUGGCCGUCCUUCGAUGGUGGAGUGAUUUGUCUGCUUAAUUGCGAUAACGAUCGAGACACUAACCUGCUAAAUAGACGCCCCGGUUCUACACGCCGGGCGGUCUUCUUAGAGGGACAAGCGGCGUCUAGUCGCACGAAGAAGUGCGAUGACAGGUCUGAGAUGCCCUUAGAUGUCCGGGGCCGCACGCGCGCUACAUUGAAGGAGUCAAUAUGUUCUCCCCCGCCCUGACAAGGGUGGGUAACCCUUUGAAUUUCCUUCGUGCUGGGGAUUGGUCUUUGUAAUUCUCGACCAUGAACGAGGAAUUCCCAGUAAAUGCGUGUCAUCAGCACGCGUUGACUAAGUCCCUGCUCUUUGUGCACACCGCCCGUCGCUUCUAUCGAUGAAUGCUUUAGUGAGGUCCUCGGACUGGUGCGCGGUGUGGUUUUCGGAUCGUGCCGUGUGCCGGAAAGAUGAUCGAACUUGAUCAUU
rnacentral:rRNA from 1 species